rnacentral:rRNA from 1 species
GACGUAGGGCGCGAGCGUUGUCCGGAUUUAUUGGGCGUAAAGGGCUCGUAGGCGGCCAACUAAGUCAGACGUGAAAUCCCUCAGCUUAACUGGGGAACUGCGUCUGAUACUGGAUGGCUUGGGUUCGGGAGAGGAAUGCGGAAUUCCAGGUGUAGCGGUGAAAUGCGUAGAUAUCUGGAGGAACACCGGUGGCGAAGGCGGCAUUCUGGACCGAUAUUGACGCUGAGGAGCGAAAGCCAGGGGAGCAAACGGG